rnacentral:rRNA from 1 species
UACGGGGGGGGCAAGCGUUGUUCGGAAUUACUGGGCGUAAAGGGCUCGUAGGCGGCCAACUAAGUCGGAUGUGAAAUCCCCAAGCUUAACUUGGGAACUGCAUCCGAUACUGGAUGGCUUGAAUCCGGGAGAGGGAUGCAGAAUUCCAGGUGUAGCGGUGAAAUGCGUAGAUAUCUGGAGGAACACCGGUGGCGAAGGCGGCAUCCUGGACCAACAUUGACGCUGAGGAGCGAAAGCCAGGGGAGCAAACGGG